GUGAGGAAUAUUGGGCAAUGGGCGCAAGCCUGACCCAGCCAUGCCGCGUGCAGGAAGACGGUCCUAUGGAUUGUAAACUGCUUUUAUACGGGAAGAAACACUCCCUCGUGAGGGAGCUUGACGGUACCGUAAGAAUAAGGAUCGGCUAACUCCGUGCCAGCAGCCGCGGUAAUACGGAGGAUCCAAGCGUUAUCCGGAAUCAUUGGGUUUAAAGGGUCCGUAGGCGGCCUUAUAAGUCAGUGGUGAAAUCCCAUCGCUCAACGAUGGAACUGCCAUUGAUACUGUAAGGCUUGAAUAAUUGUGAAGUAACUAGAAUAUGUAGUGUAGCGGUGAAAUGCUUAGAUAUUACAUGGAAUACCAAUUGCGAAGGCAGGUUACUAACAAUUGAUUGACGCUGAUGGACGAAAGCGUGGGGAGCGAACAGGAUUAGAAACCCGGGUAGUCC
rnacentral:rRNA from 1 species